rnacentral:lncRNA from 1 species
GAAAAGCCACCUUCGGAAGCACCUUCGGCGGCCGAAAGCCUCGUCCAGAGCCGAAAGUCACCCAUCUUCGGCGGCACCUUCGGCGGCCGAAAGUCUGCUCCAGAGCCGAAAGUCCAGCUCCCGAAAAUAAGCUUAGGCGGCCGAAAGCCUCCCCGAAUUGCCUCUUCCUUCUUCAAGAAGCCAAAUCUUGGAGAUCACAUGUUUCCCAC